GUGCUUGCUUCAGCCCACAUAUACUAAAAUUGGAAUGAUACAGAGAAGGAUGACACACAAAUUUGUGAAGUAUUCCAUAUUUUU
ensembl:snRNA U6 U6 spliceosomal RNA